GCUAUCGUGGCAAAGCUUGGUAAAUGCAG
rnacentral:tRNA from 1 species